rnacentral:rRNA from 1 species
UUAUCUUUAGUUACCAUCAUUAAGUUGGGGACUCUAAAGAUACUGCCCCGGUUAACGGGGAGGAAGGUGGGGAUGACGUCAAGUCCUCAUGGCCUUUAUGUCCAGGGCUACACACGUGCUACAAUGGGUUGUACAAAGGGUUGCGAACUCGCGAGAGUAAGCCAAUCCCAAAAAGCCGCUCUCAGUUCGGAUUGCAGGCUGCAACUCGCCUGCAUGAAGCCGGAAUCGCUAGUAAUCGCGGAUCAGCAUGCCGCGGUGAAUACGUUCCCGGGCCUU